GGGCCCAUCCAGAUCAGAAGCUAAGAAGACCAAGGUGAAAAGGAAAACCAACAACCCCCAGUUUGAUGAGACAUUUUACUUUGAGGUGACACGACCUCUUAGUCACACCAAGAGACAGUUUGAUGUGGAGGAGGAGGGUGUUGACAAGCUGGCUCUGAGGGUUGACCUGUGGAAUGCCAGUAACCUGAAGUUUGGGGAUGAGUUCCUGGGAGGGGUCAGAGUUCCUCUGAGGGCCCUGGGACAGGCCGGG